rnacentral:rRNA from 1 species
UGAGGGAAAGUUGAAAAGAACUUUGAAGAGAGAKUUYAACAKUACGUGAAACCGUUCAGARGUAAACGGAUGGGAACGCAAAGUCGGCCCGCGGAAUUCAGCCCGUCGUGCGCGCGUCGUCGACGCGUCCGGAUCCUCACGGAMCGGCACGUCGGCGGGCGCGUGCGUGUCGGGUGCACUUUCGGCGRGUUGAGCGCCACGACCGKYUUGCUGGCGGUCUCAAGCCCCGAGAGAAGGUGAUCGCGACGAGGCACCCGCCUCGCUYGCGGAGUUAUACRUCUCKGCGGCGUUGGCCCGCCRGCAGACCGAGGAACAUUCMGUUGCCCRCCGCGGYGCGUGCGCCGGACCCSGACRYCSGUCGUCCGACUGGCGAAGACUGCUCUCAGUUUUCGCUGACCGCGGCCGCUCGGGGGCUCGGCUCAACACGCGCUCACGCUCAGGGUCUGUGGCGAAUCGGUCGGCCRMSUAU